UCCUUAAAUACUGAGAACAGUUUUUUUGUUCUGCUUGUGUUUUGCCGCGAUUUGUAUCAGUUUUCCAGCCUUCUGAAGUAGAUUUUUUGCAGUCUAUGGUGGUUAUUUU